rnacentral:rRNA from 1 species
GACGAACGCUGGCGGCGUGCCUAAUACAUGCAAGUAGAACGCACAGUUUAUACCGUAGCUUGCUACACCAUAGACUGUGAGUUGCGAACGGGUGAGUAACGCGUAGGUAACCUGCCUGGUAGCGGGGGAUAACUAUUGGAAACGAUAGCUAAUACCGCAUAAUAUUAAUUAUUGCAUGAUAAUUAAUUGAAAGGGGCAAUUGCACCACUACCAGAUGGACCUGCGUUGUAUUAGCUAGUAGGUGAGGUAACGGCUCACCUAGGCGACGAUACAUAGCCGACCUGAGAGGGUGAUCGGCCACACUGGGACUGAGACACGGCCCAGACUCCUACGGGAGGCAGCAGUAGGGAAUCUUCGGCAAUGGACGAAAGUCUGACCGAGCAACGCCGCGUGAGUGAAGAAGGUUUUCGGAUCGUAAAGCUCUGUUGUAAGAGAAGAACGGGUGUGAGAGUGGAAAGUUCACACUGUGACGGUAUCUUACCAGAAAGGGACGGCUAACUACGUG